AUGCCAUCUGAAGCCUUCUCGACCCUUACCAAUCUCUCUCUCUGUGCCCCGCCUCCGCCCGCACCUUCAAGGAGCACGCCUAGUGCGUCUACUCCUGCGACUGCACCGCACGCGUUUGGGACGUGCUUGAGCCUAGAUCCACCAUGAUCAAGGUCUGGUAGCGGCGGCACCGAUUUCAGGGACUUGCUUCGGAGUUCCUCAGAGGAGUUGAAGCAAGUUCUUGUCUUGAUUGAAAAGAGAAGAGGUUCUUGGCUGCAUUGGUCAGUUUUAUGUGGUGAAAGUAAUGUUGAUACAGAGCUAUUUUUGCAUUGGAGCAAGAAGCACAGUUUGCUCCAUAACCUUAGCAGUGUUACUGACAUUUUCCUGAUCGUAAUGGUUCAAUUCACGUGAUGUUGGUGUGUGGGAGUUUCUUAUUGUUGGUAGCAGAUUAUUGAAUGACUUGAUGCCUCUAGGUUGUCUUGAACUUUCAAGUUGUUUGGAAUCAAGGAUAAUUGAUGGUGCAGCUGCAAUGUUCUCUCAACAUGCUUGAACGAUACUGGGUUCUUAGCCCAGAAAUGUUGAAAUCGAAAUUGCAACAUGGUGGGUUAAUUAAAAUGUUGGGGUACUUUGCGAGAGCGUGCUGCCAUAUUUUUUGUGCUUAAAUCUACCCUAUAGAAAAGAUUCCAAAGAAGCUGCUGGCAAAGAAAUGAGUACGUGAUGUACUUCAUUUAACCCUUUAUAGAGCAAGUUUCUCCUUUAAUGUAUGAAUAGUGGCUGAAUUGUGUAACUAUAUAUUUGAAUCUAUAAGGUUCCUACUUGUUGACUAUGUACUAUUGUGUACCAUUAUCCUUCGUGGAUAAUGUUGGUGGUUGUACAGUUUUUUGUUUUGACGUAUAAUGAAUGCAAUGCAGCCAUUAGAACA